UACGUAGGCAGCGAGCGUUGUUCGGAAUUACUGGGCGUAAAGAGUGUGUAGGCGGUGCGGUAAGUCACCUGUGAAAUCUCCUGGCUCAACUGGGAGCUUGCAGGCGAAACUGCCGUGCUGGAGUGUGGGAGAGGUGCGUGGAAUUCCUGGUGUAGCGGUGAAAUGCGUAGAUAUCAGGAAGAACACCCGUGGCUAAGGCGGCUCUCUAGUACGGUACUGACGCUGAGACGCGAAAGCGUGGGGAGCGAACAGG
rnacentral:rRNA from 1 species